rnacentral:rRNA from 1 species
ACGGGAGGCAGCAGUGGGGAAUAUUGGGCAAUGGGCGAAAGCCUGACCCAGCAACGCCGCGUGAAGGAAGAAGGUCUUCGGAUUGUAAACUUCUUUUAUGAGGGACGAAGGACGUGACGGUACCUCAUGAAUAAGCCACGGCUAACUACGUGCCAGCAGCCGCGGUAAUACGUAGGUGGCAAGCGUUAUCCGGAUUUACUGGGUGUAAAGGGCGCGUAGGCGGGGAUGCAAGUCAGGUGUGAAAACUAUGGGCUUAACCCAUAAACUGCAUUUGAAACUGUAUCUCUUGAGUGCUGGAGAGGUAGAUGGAAUUCCUUGUGUAGCGGAGAAAUGCGUAGAUAUAAGGAAGAACACCAGUGGCGAAGGCGAUCUACUGGACAGUAACUGACGCUGAGGCGCGAAAGCUAGGGGAGCGAACAGGAUUAGAUACCCUGGUA